CACCCUCACCCCUGAGGUGGUUUACAGCCAUAAAAGGUCUUGACACUCUCCUUUCAGGGCCGUGGGUUGGAGAGACAUGAGUCCUCCGUGGCCACGGGCAAUAAAGACCCUGCAAUUUGGCA